rnacentral:rRNA from 1 species
AGUGAACGCUGGCGGUAGGCCUAACACAUGCAAGUCGAACGGCAGCACAGUAAGAGCUUGCUCUUACGGGUGGCGAGUGGCGGACGGGUGAGGAAUACAUCGGAAUCUACUUUUUCGUGGGGGAUAACGUAGGGAAACUUACGCUAAUACCGCAUACGACCUACGGGUGAAAUCAUUGGAUCUUCGGACCUUUCGCGAUUGUAUUAGCCGAUGUCGGAUUAGCUAGUUGGCGGGGUAAAGGCCCACCAAGGCGACGAUCCGUAGCUGGUCUGAGAGGAUGAGCAGACACACUGGAACUGAGACACGGUCCAGAAUCCUACGGGAGGCAGCAGUGGGGAAUAUUGGACAAUGGGCGAAAGCAUGAUCCAGCAAUACCGCGUGGGUGAAGAAGGCCUUCGGGUUGUAAAGCCCUUUUGUUGGGAAAGAAAAGCAGCAGGUUAAUACCCCGCUGUUCUGACGGUAACAAAAGAAUAAGCACCGGCUAACUUCGUG